rnacentral:rRNA from 1 species
GACGAACGCUGGCGGCGUGCUUAACACAUGCAAGUCGAACGGAAAGGCCCUGCUUUUGUGGGGUGCUCGAGUGGCGAACGGGUGAGUAACACGUGAGUAACCUGCCCUUGACUUUGGGAUAACUUCAGGAAACUGGGGCUAAUACCGGAUAGGAGCUCCUGCUGCAUGGUGGGGGUUGGAAAGUUUCGGCGGUUGGGGAUGGACUCGCGGCUUAUCAGCUUGUUGGUGGGGUAGUGGCUUACCAAGGCUUUGACGGGUAGCCGGCCUGAGAGGGUGACCGGCCACGUUGGGACUGAGAUAUGGCCCAGACUCCUACGGGAGGCAGCAGUGGGGAAUAUUGCACAAUGGGCGGAAGCCUGAUGCAGCAACGCCGCGUGCGGGAUGACGGCCUUCGGGUUGUAAACCGCUUUCGCCUGUGACGAAGCGUGAGUGACGGUAAUGGGUAAAGAAGCACCGGCUAACUACGUG